UUCUUCAAGAAAACUAUUCAACUACAAAACCAAAGAACCCAUCCAGAAAUCAUCCAUCUUCUACCCUAAUUUUGAAUUCUUGAAGCUCUUGAAGUGUUCUUGGUUCACUUAAAUUCGAAAUCAAGGACGCUAUUGCGAAUCGCACUCAUCAACAUCAACCCGCAAUGCCCGAGCUACAAACUUUCUAUUGGAAUGGUUAGUGAAUCAGUAAGACACCAGCAUGAUUUAAGUUGUUGCUUUUGUUACAAGAUGUAAACUUAGAACGCUUAAUUUUUAUGGUUGGUACUCCUAUUUACCGUUUGUGAUGAGGCCUUAGCCUGCCACUCCUCGUGUUUCCAAUUUAACGGGGUGUGACAGUAAUGACCACCUUUGCACCCCUCUUUAACUCUAAUAUCAGGGGCCUCGAUAUCUUUUAUUAAGUUCUAUUCUUUCCUUUUUCUCUCUCU